CUGCCUGAAUGUGGGUCUGUGCUUGUAAAGCACAGCUUUGCAGCAUUGCCCAUCUGUUCCUGCAGCAGAUGCUGCCAACUCCCUGUCCCUGAGUCCAGCAGGAGUGGACCACAUGUCAAAACCUAGAUGGGCCUACAGCUCUGGCUUUUGUCCCCAACAGGCUGCAAGUGCUGAGAAUCCAAUAGCCCACCCUGCUGUCACUGCUGGAUGAUAGAUAGAGUUGGUGUCACUUUAUCAGCUCUCAUAGGCCCUGAUGAAGCAUCUCUGGAGGGAGAUGAAGAGAUACACGAGAGAGUGUUAACCUGUUACAUAGGAUCUGAGCAUCAACUUAGUUACUAAAUUAGUAAAGAAAGUCAGAUGAGAAGAAGAGGACCCUCAGCGCCACCAUCGGCCACCAUGGCGGAG